rfam:Erythranthe guttata cultivar DTN x IM62 scaffold_12_contig_50, whole genome shotgun sequence.
GACCCCAAGUCAGGCGGGAUCACCCGCUGAGUUUAAGCAUAUCAAUAAACGGAGGAAAAGAAACUUACAAGGAUUCCCCUAGUAACGGCGAGCGAACCGGGAAUAGCCCAACUUGAGAAUCGAACGGCCCCGUCGCCCGAAUUGUAGUCUGGAGAAGCGUCUUCAGCGGCGGACCGGUCCCAAGUCCCCUGGAAAGGGGCGCCGGAGAGGGUGAGAGCCCCAUUGUGCCCGGACCCUGUCGCACCACGAGGCGCUUUCGGCGAGUCGGGUUGUUUGGGAAUGCAGCCCCAAUCGGGCAGUAAAUUCCGUCCAAGGCUAAAUACGGGCGAGAGAACAAUAGCGAACAAGUACCGCGAGGGAAAGAUGAAAAGGACUUUGAAAAGAGAGUCAAAGAGUGCCUGAAAUUGUCAGGAGGGAAGCGGAUAGGGGCUGGCGAUGCGCCUCGGUCAGAUGUGGAACGGUGAAUGCCGGUCUGCCGAUCGACUCGAGGCGCGAACCAGUGCAGAUUGAGGCGGCGGCCAAAGCCCGAGCAGUUGAUAUGCUUGUGGAAUGCCGUCGCCCCGAUCGUGGCGGACAACGCGCGUCCUCGGCGUGCCUCGGCAACUGCGCGCUCCCGGUGCUGGCCAGCGGGCUCCCCCCAUUCGACCCGUCUUGAAACAGGACCAAGGAGUCUGACAUGUGUGCGAGUCAACGGGUUAGUAAACCAGCAAGGCGCAAGGGAGAUGACUGGCGCGAUCCCCCUCGAGGGUUGCAACGCCGACCGACCUUGAUCUUCUAAGAAGGGUUCGAGUGAGCAUACCUGUCGGGACCCGAAAGAUGGUGAACUAUGCCUGAGCGGGGCGAAGCCAGAGGAAACUCUGGUGGAGGCCCGCAACGAUACUGACGUGCAAAUCGUUCGUCUGACUUGGGUGUAGGGGCGAAAGACUAAUCGAACCAUCUAGUAGCUGGUUCCCUUCGAAGUUUCCCUUAGGAUAGCUAGAGCUCGAGCGCGAUUCUAUCGGGUAAAACCAAUGAUUAGAGGCAUCGGGGGCGCAAUGCCCUCGAUCUAUUCUCAAACUUUAAAUAGGUAGGACGGUGCGGCUGCUUUGUUGAGCCGCACUAGGGAAUCGAGAGCUCCAAGUGGGCCAUUUUUGGUAAGCAGAACUGGCGAUGCGGGAUGAACCGGAAGCCUGGUUACGGUGCCCAACUGCGCGCUAACCUAGAUCCCACAAAGGGUGUUGGUCGAUUAAGACAGCAGGACGGUGGUCAUGGAAGUCAAAAUACGCUACGGAGUGUGUAACAACUCACCUGCCGAAUCAACUAGCCCCGAAAAUGGAUGGCGCUAAAGCGCGCGACCUAUACCCGGCUGUCGGGGCAAGAGCCAGGCCCCGAUGAGUAGGAGGGCGCGGCGGUUGUUGCAAAACCCUGGGCGUGAGUCCGGGCGGAGCGGCCGUCGGUGCGGAUCUUGGUGGUAGUAACAAAUAUUCAAAUGAGAACUUUGAAGGCCGAAGAGGGGAAAUGUUCCAUGUGAAUGACACUUGCACAUGGGUUAGUCGAUCCUAAGGGUCGGGGGAAGCCCGACAGACAGCGCGUUCAGCGUGUGCUCUAAAAGGGAAUCAGGUUAAUAUUCCUGAACCGGGACGCGGCGGCUGACGGCAACGUUAGGGAGUCCGGAGACGUCCGCGGGGGCUUCGGGAAGAGUUAUCUUUUCUGUUUAACAACCUGCCCACCCUGGAAACGGUUCAGCCGGAGGUAGUGUCCAGCGGCUGGAAGAGCACCGCACGUCGCGUGGUGUUCGGUCCGCCCCCGGUGGCCCUUGAAAAUCCGGAAGACCGAGUGCCGUCCGGGCCCGGUCGCACUCAUAACCGCAUCAGGUCUCCAAGGUGAACAACCUCUGGUCGAUGGAACAAUGUAGGCAAGGGAAGUCGGCAAAAUGGAUCCAUAACAUCGGGAAAAGUAUUGGCUCUGAGGGCUGGGCACAGAGGUCUCUGUCCCGAACCCAUCGGCUGUCGGCGAAUUGCUCGAGCUGCUCCCGCGGCGAGAGCGGGUCGUCGCGUUCCGGCCGGGGGACGGACUGGGAAUGACUCAUUCGGGGGCCUUCCCCGGGCGUCGAACAGUCGACUCAGAACUGGUACGGACAAGGGGAAUCAGACUAAUUAAUUAAAACAAAGCAUUGCGAUGGUCCCUGCGGAUGCUUACGCAAUGUGAUUUCUGCCCAGUGCUCUGAAUGUCGAAGUGAAGAAAUUCAACCAAGCGCGGGUAAACGGCGGGAGUAACUAUGACUCUCUUAAGGUAGCCAAAUGCCUCGUCAUCUAAUUAGUGACGCACAUGAAUGGAUUAACGAGAUUCCCACUACCCCUGUCUACUAUCCAGCGAAACCACAACCAAGGGAAUUGGCUUGGCCGAAUCAGCGGGGAAAGAAGACCCUGUUGAGCUUGACUCUAGUCCGACUUUGUGAAAUGACUUAAGAGGUGUAGGAUAAGUGCGAGCAGAAAGGCGAAAGUGAAAUACCACUACUUUUAACAUUAUUUUACUAAUUCCGUGAAUCGAAAGCGGGGCAGUGCCCCUCUUUUAGGACCCAAGGCCCGUCUCGGCGGGCCGAUCCGGGCGGAAGACAUUGUCAGGUGGGGAGUUUGGCUGGGGCUGUAAUUGAGUGAGCGUUUUUUAUGUAGUCUGUGUUUUACACAAGAAGUACACUGAAUUUCAAGUGUGUGUUUGACGGUGUAGUGAAUUUUAUUCAAUGUGUGUUUUGAUGUAGUGCGUGUUUUUCUUAAGUGCGUGUUUUUGGAGUAGUGUGCGGUUUUUUUUUCGCUUUGAAUUACUCAACAACUACACUGGAAAACACAUACUGGAAAAAAAUGCACGCAGUACAUCAAAAACACAUACUGAAAAAAAACACGCACCACACCAAAAACACACACUGGA